rnacentral:rRNA from 1 species
AUUGAACGCUGGCGGCAGGCCUAACACAUGCAAGUCGAACGAGUGGCGGACGGGUGAGUAAUGUCUGGGAAACUGCCUGAUGGAGGGGGAUAACUACUGGAAACGGUAGCUAAUACCGCAUACCAUCGGAUGUGCCCAGAUGGGAAUGGCUAGUAGGUGGGGGAAAGGCUCACCUAGGCGACGGUCCCUAGCUGGUCGGAGAGGAUGACCAGCCACCCUGGAACUGAGACACGGUCCAGACUCCUACGGUGGGCAGGAGGGGGGAAUAUUGCACAAUGGGCGCAAGCCUGAGGCAGCCAUGCCGCGUGUAUGAAGAGGGCCUUCGGGUUGUAAAGUACUUUCAGCGGGGAGGCGUUACCCGCAGAAGAAGCACCGGCUAACUCCGUGCCAGCCGCCGCGGUAAAC